rnacentral:rRNA from 1 species
CCUACGGGGAGCAGCAGUGAGGAAUAUUGGUCAAUGGGCGCGCGCCUGAACCAGCCAAGUAGCGUGAAGGAUGACUGCCCUACGGGUUGUAAACUUCUUUUAUCAAGGAAUAAAGUGAGGCACGUGUGCCUUUUUUUAUGUACUUUAUGAAUAAGGAUCGGCUAACUCCGUGCCCGCCGCCGCGGUAAUCCGGAGGAUCCGAGCGUUAUCCGGAUUUAUUGGGUUUAAAGGGAGCGUAGGUGGAUUGUUAAGUCAGUUGUGAAAGUUUGCGGCUCAAACGUAAAAUUGCAGUUGAAACUGGCAGUCGUGAGUACAGUAGAGGUGGGCGGAAUUCGUGGUGUAGCGGUGAAAUGCUGAGAUAGCACGAAGAACUCCGAUUGCGAAGGCAGCUCACUGGACUGCAACGGACACUGAGGCUCGAAAGUGUGGGUAUCAAACAGGAGUAGAUACCCGGGUAGUC